UUUAAGUGAUUUUGUCUUUCCAAGCCAAAGAUUUAUGUUUUGCCAACAAAGAAAAUGAAAUUUGUAUGAAAAUAAUUGGUUUAAGAAAAUUCUAGUAUAAAAAGACUUCUUAACAAAUCUAACUAUCUAUAAAUUAAAUUUGAGAAGGUAAGUCUAGUUUAGAAUAUGUUGAGCAAAGAAAGCUACUUAAUAUCAAUUUUGGCAUAUAUAGCACGCC
rnacentral:lncRNA from 1 species